GUCAUAAUAGUUAAUUAAUAACAAUAAAUUGCAAGUUUAGAAUUGGUUUUUUCCUUUUGAUA
rnacentral:tRNA from 1 species